rnacentral:lncRNA from 1 species
UGGCCAUCCAAAGGGAAGUCAAUGCUUCAGAGUAUAACUCUGGUUGAGAGCAUAGUCCUUUUCAUAGAUCUGUCUUCCCUAGAAGAGGAGAGAAAGACUGCAAAUCUGGUCCACUUGUCAGUAUUAGGAGUAAUGACAGGAGGAUCAAACAAACUAGUUGGGAAGUGUGACCUAAUUGCUGAAAUCCACUGGUACCAGCACCUUCCCCCUAGCUCUCUUCUGUUUUCUCCUAGCUGCUCUGGAUAAUCUUGCAGAGCAGACUGCUCCACCAUUUCACCACCAAGAGGAAUCCUGAUAAUCCAGUUUCUUCAACAGGCAAAUCAGAACGACCAGUCCUGUGGCGAGGUGGAGAAGAAGUUUCCUCAAAAGAAAUAUUUUGUCACCUAUGCGACAAAUAUUUACUAGAGGAAACAAAACGGGUCAUCACCUGAUUAUCCUCCCAUAUAGGUGGAAGAAGG